CUGUAUUGAAUCAUCUAUUGGCGAUGGCCGGAGAUUGGCAAUUAAUGAGCGGGAAUGUGUUGCUAAUUCCGAAUUGUGUUCUGGUGCAUGUAAUAAAAUAAAUAAUUACAAGCACCCCCUUAAACCCUUCAAAUUAUUGAACUAUAUGGUGUUGCAGUAUAGCGUGAAGAGUUCUGGAAGAAAAGUAUGACCAUGAAGUAUCUUUGAAGAGUAAAGUAGGAAUAUAUUGGUUUAUUUCAGUUGCAUAUGGCUCAGUAGAACUCUCAAUCCCAAAUGACCCAGAAUCUCUUGGAUGCACUACACAUCCAUGGCAUAAGGUGGAACUUACACUUGCAGGUUCAUGGCCGAAGUGUUGCCGUAAAUUAUUCGUAGAAAGAUAAGCUAAAUUUAAAAAAAAUAUAUAUUCGACACCUGCACUUCCAAAGGUAGAAUUUAAUGUAUUUGCAGUAAACCUAAAAAUAUGUCUGAUAAAACUUCUUCUGAGUGUAUUUAUUUUUAAUAGAUGAGGCUUUUGGAUACUAAACAAUCACUAUCUUCAACACCUAUCAUUGAAAAAAUAGUAUUUGCAACCCUGAUUUUUAUGUUAUUGUAUUGGUAUGAAUGUAAUCUUCAUAACACAGUAAAAACAUAAGGUCACCAUGGUUGAAGACAAA